rnacentral:rRNA from 1 species
UACGUAGGGUGCCAAGCGUUAAUCGGAAUUACUGGGCGUAAAGCGUGCGCAGGCGGUUUUGUAAGCCCAGAUGUGAAAGCCCCCGGGCGUCAACCUGGGGAACUGCGUUUGGAACGUACAAGACUAGAGUGUGUCAGAGGGGGGUGGAAUUCCGCGUGUAGCAGUGAAAUGCGUAGAGAUGCGGAGGAACACCGAUGGCGAAGGCAGCCCCCCUGGGAGUAACACUGACGCUCAUGCACG